GGCCCAAUGGUCUAGACGUAUGAUACACGCUUCGGGUCUUUCCCGCUUACAUUGUGUAAGCUUUGAUGUGUGUGGUCCCGGGUUCAAUUCCCGGUUGGGCCC